ensembl:lncRNA
UAUGUGUGUGUGUGUGUGUGUAUGUGUGUGUGUGUGUGUGUGUGUGUGUGUGUGUGUGUGUGUGUGUGUGUGUGUGUGUGUGUGUGUGUGUGUGUGUGUGUGUGUGUGUGUGUGUGUGUGUGUGUGUGUGUGUGUGUGUGUGUGUGUGUGUGUGUGUGUGUGUCUGUAGCAGAAUCAGUUAAGACCCUCAAGGAGUUAGCCUAGCGGUUAAGAGCGGUAACCGAAAGGUUGCUGGUUCGAAACCCUGAGACGACUAGGUGAAUAAAUCGGUCGAUGUGCCCUUGAGCAAGGCACUAAUAACUCCUGUAAGUCGUUCUGGAUAAGAUCGUCUGCCAAAUGACUACUAUGUGGGAUUUUGUAACAGAGAUCAGGCGAGGCGAGGUGGCGAGGCCGUGGAGAGUUCAGCGGACAGGGGAUUGGCUCAGGGAGGUUUCAUCUCCGAGGGUCAAUCUGGCAGGUCAUCGUAACAGCAGACAGCACACCACACUCAGGCGUCUUCUGAACCACACCUGGCCCCCUGACUGAGUCUACAGCAUGCUCCAGGACUGGUGGCAUGUGUCAGGAUAAUGAUGAACAAAACAUUAGGAACACCUUCCUCAUAUUGAUUUGCACCACCCCCCUUUUGCCCUCAGAACAGCCUCAAACACUGGCAUGGUUUAAAGAGACUGUCAGUACGUGGAUUAAAUAGACUGUCAGUACAUGGUUUAAAUAGACUGUCAGUACGUAGCUGAUAAACACUGGCUUGGUUUAAAUAGACUGUCAGUACAUGGUUUAAAUAGACUGUCAGUACAUGGUUUAAAUAGACUGUCAGUACAUGGUUUAAAUAGACUGUCAGUACGUGGUUUAAAUAGACUUACAUGGUUUAAAUAGACUGUCAGUACAUGGUUUAAAUAGACUGUCAGUACGUGGUUUAAAUAGACUGUCAGUACAUGGUUUAAAUAGACUGUCAGUACAUGGUUUAAAUAGACUGUCAGUACGUAGCUGAUAAACACUGGCAUGGUUUUAAAACAGUGUACACGUUGAUCAACUGCUCUAUAUGGUGUAGAGAAUGAAAGGAAUUCCCCGUAGCUUCUGGCUUCUAGAACUAUUGCCUGUUUUUCAGCCAUAUUCUGUUAGGUUGCUUUAGCAACAAAAACCCUGCAAAAAAAACAACGAAAGGACUAAUCAUCAAGUAGCUUUGAAGCCUGUGAAGCUGUCAACUUUCUAGCUCUGGUAGCACUUACUUUGUGUUCGUCCCAACUGGCACCCUAUUCCCUACGUAGUGCACUACUUUUGACCUGGCCUGGUCUGCAGUAGUGCACCAUAUAGGGAAUAGGGUGCUAGUUGGGACGUGAGCCUCUGUGUUCUGUU